GUAGCUCAGUGGUAGAGUGCAUGCCGUGCAAGCAUGAGGCCCUGGGUUCGAUUCCUAAGC
rnacentral:tRNA from 1 species